UACGUAGGGUGCGAGCGUUAAUCGGAAUUACUGGGCGUAAAGCGUGCGCAGGCGGUUCGUUGUGUCGGCGGUGAAAGCCCCGGGCUCAACCUGGGAAUGGCCGUUGAAACUGGCGAACUGGAGUGUGGCAGAGGGGGGUGGAAUUCCGCGUGUAGCAGUGAAAUGCGUAGAGAUCCGGAAGAACACCGGUGGCGAAGGCGGUCUGCUGGGCAGUAGCUGGACACUGAGGCACGAAAGCGUGGGGAUCGAAACAGGAUUAAGA
rnacentral:rRNA from 1 species